UGGGGAAUAUUGCACAAUGGGCGCAAGCCUGAUGCAGCCAUGCCGCGUGUAUGAAGAAGGCCUUCGGGUUGUAAAGUACUUUCAGCGGGGAGGAAGGCGAUAAGGUUAAUAACCUUGUCGAUUGACGUUACCCGCAGAAGAAGCACCGGCUACCUCCGUGCCAGCAGCCGCGGUAAUACGGAGGGUGCAAGCGUUAAUCGGAAUUACUGGGCGUAAAGCGCACGCAGGCGGUCUGUCAAGUCGGAUGUGAAAUCCCCGGGCUCAACCUGGGAACUGCAUUCGAAACUGGCAGGCUAGAGUCUUGUAGAGGGGGGUAGAAUUCCAGGUGUAGCGGUGAAAUGCGUAGAGAUCUGGAGGAAUACCGGUGGCGAAGGCGGCCCCCUGGACAAAGACUGACGCUCAGGUGCGAAGGCGUGGGGAGCAAACA
rnacentral:rRNA from 1 species